UAAAUACUCCCUCAGUUCGGAAAUACUUGUCAUCAAAAUGGAUAAAAGGGAUGUAUCUAGUCGUAUUUUAGUUCUAGAUACAUCUCUUUUUAUCCAUUUAGAUGACAAGUAUUUUUGGACGGAGGGAAUAGUAA
rfam:Triticum aestivum genome assembly, contig: Triticum_aestivum_CS42_TGACv1_scaffold_129474_2BL